CUUUAAAUUCAUGUUAUUGAACUAUUUGUGGUUUGAAUUGAAUUAUAGGAAGAGGUUUGCUCAACAAUUUGUGACUCGUUAUAUCAUUUCUGAGGUAAUGUCAAGGAUGCCUUAUACUGCAGAUUGUUGGAAAAGUUAUUGCCCUGAAAUGAAAGAAAUGUUAUUUAAUGAUUUUAAGAAUAUGAUCGUGUGAUGGCGAGGGAAGUUUGG